rnacentral:sRNA from 1 species
GUAGAAUUAUAAAUUAGUAUUUGUAACUAUGUUUUUUUUUAGUUUUUUGAA